rnacentral:misc_RNA from 1 species
CUGAGUGAGGGCCCUCUGGGUCCAACCUCCCACCCGUGUUUAUUGUACCUUGUUGCUUCGGCAGGCCCGCCUCACGGCCGCCGGGGGGCUUCUGCCCCCGGGCCCGCGCCUGCCGGAGACACCAUUGAACGCUGUAUGAAGAUUGCAGUCUGAGCUUAUUAGCUAAAUUAGUUA